UUCUGAUUUUGUUCUGCAUUCAUAUAAGUAGGUAAUAGCCCUUUUCCACCAUAAGGGACAAUUCCUUUUUUAUGCUUUAAGAAUUAUGGAAUCCCUUCUUAUCCUCUCCUUCUGAAGGUUAAGUAAAUUCAAUUUCUUUCCAGUGACUCAUAUUUUCUCAUCCUUUAGUCAUUUUUACUACUUUCUUCCAUUUAAGCUCUCCAAUCUUAUUUUAGUUUGGAAAGAAUAAUACAAAUUUCCAAUAAUGUUGACACCAAAUUCAAAAAGCACUUACCAAAACCUGUCCUCCCAAAUGGUUACCUGGAGCCCCCAGUCGUGAUGUAGGCCCCUACCAAUGUCCUAAGCAUCACACGUCACUCCAGAUAAGGUUUCAGAGGAAUCCAGAUGCUACUAACUGCACUAAGCUCUGAAGAGCUGCUCUAACACAUGGAUGGUAGAAGAAAGAGCAGCAACAAAGAAGCCUGCAGGAAGUGUCAGUUUUGUGUGUGUAGUAUAGUUAAGAGCUAGGUAAAAUUGACCAUCCUAAGCAUGACCAUUAUGGUCUGACAGUAAGACAUCCUCCUCAGCAAAAAUAGCUCGGAAAAGCACA